AUGUACCCCUCACACUCCGGUUCCUGUGCGCCGUCCACGCCCACCUGACAACCGCUCGCUACGUUUUGUUAGCC
rnacentral:sRNA from 1 species